rnacentral:rRNA from 1 species
AUGCUGGAGGUAUCAGAAGUGCGAAUGCUGACAUAAGUAACGAUAAAGCGGGUGAAAAGCCCGCUCGCCGGAAGACCAAGGGUUCCUGUCCAACGUUAAUCGGGGCAGGGUGAGUCGACCCCUAAGGCGAGGCCGAAAGGCGUAGUCGAUGGGAAACAGGUUAAUAUUCCUGUACUUGGUGUUACUGCGAAGGGGGGACGGAGAAGGCUAUGUUGGCCGGGCGACGGUUGUCCCGGUUUAAGCGUGUAGGCUGGUUUUCCAGGCAAAUCCGGAAAAUCAAGGCUGAGGCGUGAUGACGAAGCACUACGGUGCUGAAGCAACAAAUGCCCUGCUUCCAGGAAAAGCCUCUAAGCAUCAGGUAACAUCAAAUCGUACCCCAAACCGACACAGGUGGUCAGGUAGAGAAUACCAAGGCGCUUGAGAGAACUCGGGUGAAGGAACUAGGCAAAAUGGUGCCGUAACUUCGGGAGAAGGCACGCUGAUAUGUAGGUGAAGUCCCUCGCGGAUGGAGCUGAAAUCAGUCGAAGAUACCAGCUGGCUGCAACUGUUUAUUAAAAACACAGCACUGUGCAAACACGAAAGUGGACGUAUACGGUGUGACGCCUGCCCGGUGCCGGAAGGUUAAUUGAUGGGGUUAGCGGUAACGCGAAGCUCUUGAUCGAAGCCCCGGUAAACGGCGGCCGUAACUAUAACGGUCCUAAGGUAGCGAAAUUCCUUGUCGGGUAAGUUCCGACCUGCACGAAUGGCGUAAUGAUGGCCAGGCUGUCUCCACCCGAGACUCAGUGAAAUUGAACUCGCUGUGAAGAUGCAGUGUACCCGCGGCAAGACGGAAAGACCCCGUGAACCUUUACUAUAGCUUGACACUGAACAUUGAGCCUUGAUGUGUAGGAUAGGUGGGAGGCUUAGAAGUGUGGACGCCAGUCUGCAUGGAGCCGACCUUGAAAUACCACCCUUUAAUGUUUGAUGUUCUAACGUGGACCCGUAAUCCGGGUUGCGGACAGUGUCUGGUGGGUAGUUUGACUGGGGCGGUCUCCUCCUAAAGAGUAACGGAGGAGCACGAAGGUUGGCUAAUCCUGGUCGGACAUCAGGAGGUUAGUGCAAUGGCAUAAGCCAGCUUGACUGCGAGCGUGACGGCGCGAGCAGGUGCGAAAGCAGGUCAUAGUGAUCCGGUGGUUCUGAAUGGAAGGGCCAUCGCUCAACGGAUAAAAGGUACUCCGGGGAUAACAGGCUGAUACCGCCCAAGAGUUCAUAUCGACGGCGGUGUUUGGCACCUCGAUGUCGGCUCAUCACAUCCUGGGGCUGAAGUAGGUCCCAAGGGUAUGGCUGUUCGCCAUUUAAAGUGGUACGCGAGCUGGGUUUAGAACGUCGUGAGACAGUUCGGUCCCUAUCUGCCGUGGGCGCUGGAGAACUGAGGGGGGCUGCUCCUAGUACGAGAGGACCGGAGUGGACGCAUCACUGGUGUUCGGGUUGUCAUGCCAAUGGCACUGCCCGGUAGCUAAAUGCGGAAGAGAUAAGUGCUGAAAGCAUCUAAGCACGAAACUUGCCCCGAGAUGAGUUCUCCCUGACCCUUUAAGGGUCCUGAAGGAACGUUGAAGACGACGACGUUGAUAGGCCGGGUGUGUAAGCGCAGCGAUGCGUUGAGCUAACCGGUACUAAUGAACCGUGAGGCUUAACCUUACAACGCCGAAGCUGUU